UAAGUCAAAAGGUGCUAUUGGCUAAAUUACCGGCACUUUUAAAAAGUGUUGCUAUAUGUGGGGUCGCUAGGUAUAUAGUGAAAUUUUAAGAGUGUCGGUAUAACCUAAAAAAAAUGCUGCUAAUUUACCAACAGUUAUUUAAGUAUUUAACAACCGUUGGAACCCUACCUCAUCGGCCGUGGCGGCGAAGCAGGAGGAGAGCGAGGAGCUCUUCGUCUAGGAUUUCAGUGGAUUGAGUGAGAGGAGAAGGGGAGAUGGUGAUUGAUUUUUCUUUUUUUUUUUCUUUUCUGUUUGUAAUUAGGCCGAAUGGGUUGGGUGUGGUGGGUUAAGUAGAAUAACCUUUUAUUUUUGGUUGGAUUAGGCUUUAUAUUUAGAUCUUAAUAGAUUUCUUUAAAAGUGUUGGCAUAAAUGGAACACUUACACAAAAGUGUUCCAAAUAUGUGUCGCUAUAACCUAAUU
rnacentral:lncRNA from 1 species